rnacentral:rRNA from 1 species
UUAAACACAAGAGUUUGAUCCUGGCUCAGGACAAACGCUGGCGGCGUGCCUAACACAUGCAAGUCGAGCGGAGAUACCUGA